CCUCACGGCCCCGGCCGGACCUUCCCGAAGAAAGGCAUCGGCGGCGGCGGGAAGAGAAGGAGGAAGAGGAGGAAGAGGAGGAGGAGGAGGAGGAGUCACACGGAUUCAGGAGCUUGAACUCCGAGAGACGCAAUAAGCGAUUGUGUUACGAGCCUUGGCAGCGCCAAAUCCGUGAGCACGGGAUGGUGCGGACAGAAGAGUGCAGGUUACCUCUAACUCAGGUACAUUGUUGUAUGAAGCUGGGUUUAUAUCAUCAUGCCUAUACAAAUACUUUGUGUCGUUGCACCAAUUUCACAAUAAAGACAUUUGAGGGCUACUGUAAUGCACUAGGAGAUACAUUAUUAACCCAGACCACUCCAGCCCGCGGUGUUACUUCAGGAGGGUGUCUGGGAACAACAGAGUGAUAAAGAGUCAUCCAUGGUUUCAGCUUUCCCUUUGUUGCUGUAAAAAAAUCAUACAGGUUCGCUGGAGUCUGGUUUUUGGCUCUGCCAAAGUAAACAAUUUUGGGUCUGUAUGGAAUUGGAUUUGGUGGGGAAAAGAAGCAAUGGAAUAUUCCCUCAGGUUAUAUUAAUUGUGGAUUGCACCACCCCCUGAAGAAAAAGGGCAUGAGGUGAGGACCUGUGUUUUCCUGGGCUACUCUGUGACCUUGAGUAAGGCAUUUCAUACACACAGCUGUAUUUUGACUGUCAUUAAAAUUGAAAUAAAAAUAUCUUGCCUCUUUUUAA